rnacentral:rRNA from 1 species
GAUGAUAGCUUGCUAUCAGGCGUCGAGCGGCGGACGGGUGAGUAAUACUUAGGAAUCUACCUAGUAGUGGGGGAUAGCACGGGGAAACUCGUAUUAAUACCGCAUACGACCUACGGGAGAAAGGGGGCAGUUUACUGCUCUCGCUAUUAGAUGAGCCUAAGUCGGAUUAGCUAGAUGGUGGGGUAAAGGCCUACCAUGGCGACGAUCUGUAGCUGGUCUGAGAGGAUGAUCAGCCACACCGGGACUGAGACACGGCCCGGACUCCUACGGGAGGCAGCAGUGGGGAAUAUUGGACAAUGGGGGAAACCCUGAUCCAGCCAUGCCGCGUGUGUGAAGAAGGCCUUUUGGUUGUAAAGCACUUUAAGCAGUGAAGAAGACUCCGUGGUUAAUACCCACGGACGAUGACAUUAGCUGCAGAAUAAGCACCGGCUAACUCUGUGCCAGCAGCCGCGGUAAUACAGAGGGUGCAAGCGUUAAUCGGAAUUACUGGGCGUAAAGGGAGCGUAGGUGGCUCUAUAAGUCAGAUGUGAAAUCCCCGGGCUCAACCUGGGAACUGCAUCUGAAACUGUAGAGCUAGAGUAUGUGAGAGGAAGGUAGAAUUCCAGGUGUAGCGGUGAAAUGCGUAGAGAUCUGGAGGAAUACCGAUGGCGAAGGCAGCCUUCUGGCAUAAUACUGACACUGAGGCUCGAAAGCGUGGGUAGCAAACAGGAUUAGAUACCCUGGUAGUCCACGCCGUAAACGAUGUCUACUAGUCGUUGGGUCCCUUGAGGACUUAGUGACGCAGCUAACGCAAUAAGUAGACCGCCUGGGGAGUACGGCCGCAAGGUUAAAACUCAAAUGAAUUGACGGGGGCCCGCACAAGCGGUGGAGCAUGUGGUUUAAUUCGAUGCAACGCGAAGAACCUUACCUG